rnacentral:rRNA from 1 species
UUGGCGGGCAAGWCUGGUGCCAGCAGCCGCGGUAAUUCCAGCUCCAAUAGCGUAUAUUAAAGUUGUUGCAGUUAAAAAGCUCGUAGUUGAAUUUCGGGAUCAGACUGUCGGUCGUGCCCCGGUACGCACUGGCAUUAUUGGUUCCUACCUUCUGAAGAACCGCGAUGUCAUUAAUUUGGUGUCGUGGGGAAUCAGGACUGUUACUUUGAAAAAAUUAGAGUGUUUAAAGCAGGCGCACGCUUGAAUACAUUAGCAUGGAAUAAUGAAAUAGGACGUUUGAUUCUAUUUUGUUGGUUUCUAGGAUCGACGUAAUGAUUAAUAGGGAUAGUUGGGGGCAUUAGUAUUCAAUUGUCAGAGGUGAAAUUCUUGGAUUUAUUGAAGACUAACUACUGCGAAAGCAUUUGCCAAGGAUGUUUUCAUUAAUCAAGAACGAAAGUUAGGGGAUCGAAGACGAUCAGAUACCGUCGUAGUCUUAACCAUAAACUAUGCCGACUAGGGAUCGGAUGAUGUUAAUUUUAUAAUGACUCAUUCGGCGCCUUACGGGAAAC